rnacentral:misc_RNA from 1 species
UAUGGAAAGAAAAACAACCCAACAUUCAAGUUGCAGAAAUAAUGCAAGGAUGCCAGUGAGGAAACAAUGUUGGCAUUCAAGAGGCCAAAUCAAUUCACUAUAUCAAUUCAGAAUAGGUGGGUGGAUUUCACGAAUUUUAUCUUCUACUCCACUCCAUCUGAUAAAAUAUACCUCUUGUUAUAUGUCAUUUCCUUGAACAUGAAUGUCCUCAAAGUGCAUGCCUUGUUUAAAGCCCAAUAACCAAAGCAUGCUGGUUAAUAAAAUAGAAGUCACAACUCUAAACCAAAACCACUAUUUUCAAGUUGAUUAUCAUGAUUGUGAAGAACAAAAGCUUUCCUUAAUAUAUUGUGAAUACUGGAUACUCCAAGAACACAAAAAUACUGAAUCAGAAGACUCCACCUGGGCGAAAGCUACAUGACUAAAAGUGGAAAGAACAAAAAAACUAAAAACUUCAUGAAUGGAAGGAGGAAAUAAUAUAGUUUCCAUGAAUAUAUACUACCAGCUUGUUAUUUGGAGCAACUAAAGUCAG